GUAUCUUAACCUUUUGCUGUCUAUUUCAAAUCUUCAACCAGUGUUUUAAUUUAGUCUCUUGGUUGAUUUCUCUUCUCUCUAUUCUGUAAUAUUUUCCUUUGAAUUAGAAAAGGUGCUUCCAUAUUGCCUCAGAUGAAGGAAAACAAGUGUAGGAAUAGAAUUUAUUUUAUUAGUUAAAUUAAAAACUACGAUAAAAAUUAAAACUUACCAUAACAAGGCUAUAAAUGACGAACAACAUGCAAUUGAAUAAGGAAAGUUUCUUAGCUGGAUAUCAUGAGUUUUGAGCUACCCAUAUUAGCUCCUAAGAGCUAGAGUAAUGUUUUUGGUAAAAGGUUAUGCUCCCAUCAAACCUGAUUGCUAAGUUAUGUUGUACUACCAUUGAUUUAUGAGGCUACACUAUACUUCUAUUUUUAUUUUUUAUUUAUAAAUUUUUUAUUUAUUUAUAGAUAAAAAAUUUUAUAUUUAUUAAUUUUAGAAAAAAAGACAUCGUUUCUUUUUCCAUUAUCAUUAACCUCAUUUUCAUCAUUGUUGCCAUCACUAUCACUAUUGUCUCUUUUAUCACUGUUAUCAUUAUCCUUAUCUCUACCAUUACUAUUACUAUCAUCCAGCUAUCAUUUCCUUACUUGCCAACACCAUCUCAUUAUUCGUAUCCCACCACUGAGUUCUAUCAACAUCAUCUUUUGGAAAUAAUUGGUAGGUGAAUUUGAUCUUUCUUCGUAAGCCUUUUUGAAUUUUGAUCACAUAAUAUAAUGCAAUGGCUAG
rnacentral:lncRNA from 1 species